AGGAGCCCAGCUGCAGAGAAUCUAGGCCACUGUGACUUGGUCUUCCCCUCUCUGGGAUAUCACAAAGGCCAUAUGAGGUCAGUGAACCAAUCUACAAGAGAAGGGCUGAGCAGGGGACCUGAGAUGAUUUUCUCCAAUAUUUAGUCAGACUGAUUUUCUGGAUCCAAGUUUCUCAACUUACCAAAUGUGGGCAAAUCAUUAUAUUGCUCCCAGCCUUAAAAAUCUUCAAUAAGUUAAAGAGAGGACUCAGGCUUAAUGGCAAUCCUGUUAUCUUACCAAUGAGGAGACUAAACACCUAGUUGGAGAUCACCUCCUUACUGGCUCAGAGCUUCAGGAAAUAGCUCAAGGAUGUGCAAAUACUAAACAGUAGAGCUGGGAUUUAGAUCCACAUCUACUUAAUUUUAGUGCGUAUGCUCUAACUGCUGCCACAGAAGGGAUGCAGAGGAAGACGGUCAGUUACCCAGAGGGUGAUAUCUUUGACUUAAUGUUCACCAUAAAGACAGCUAUCAACAAAAGACUUGAAUUCUAACUUGUUAUCUAUUGCAGGAAAGUGCCUGCAAUAUGCCAUUGUGACAAGGCACCAUCAAUCAUCAUGUCCCUUUACCAGGAGGGCCCGUGUCAUAAGCCACUAUAUAAAGGGAAUGAUGGGUGGACUGCUUUGGACAAAUGGACCUGCGGUAGGAGAGAGGGACAACAGUAGGAGCAGGCAGAUCUUGCUGUUUCAACCAAAACCUCAUGCUGACCAGAGUUGAGGAACAGAAGAAGAUGGUGAAGGCCUGCAGUCAGCAGAAUAUGUCAAUGUUUUGGUUGAAGAAGCUGCUUGAAUCUGGGCUUUUCUGUGCCAUGUGUUCUCCCAGGGCCAGCACAAAGAAGGGCUUUUGGUGCAGGCCCAAGACCACCAUAAUCAUCAUUGAUUAUUCCUCUCCACGCCAGUGUCUCUAAAUAAACUUUCUCUUCUUUCUCUGACAAAG
rnacentral:lncRNA from 1 species